CGUAUAUAUUCAAGAACAGCUGCAGCUGCAUUCCUACGCCAUAUAGUCCACUUUCUCAAUUAAAUCGAUUUUAAUCUCACUAAUUCGUGUCUAAUUCGCUUCUGCGAAGUACUUCUUCCUCCUAAUUAAUAAAAUUAUAUUGCGUGAAAUCACAAAACUUUACAAACUCGAAUGAAUUCUCCAACACAAACGAACUACUUUGUGCACCGACGCGGAGGAAUACACUUAAAAAACGGUGACUAAUAGGAACAUAAAGAAAGUCAUUCUUGCUGAUUCACUCGUCGGAAGAAGACAUCUUUGAACGCGUUCUCGUACACACGUGGAAGAGCGAAGGAUCUGGAAAAAGGGUCUCGAAAAAGGAUCAAUUCGUUCUCACAGCAAGCAAACUAUAUCGUCAGACGCGAGCCAAUGCUAGACACAGUCUCUUACCAUUUGAGAUGGCAACUGAUGCAGAUGGAUGGAAAGAAUGGAUAAAGUUGGAUAAAAAGAGAGAAAACAAAACUAAGUUACCAUAAAUCAGACGCAAGCCUUAUCUUCACAGGAUUUAUCCUCGCAUAUUUUGACUAUUGAUGUUAUUUAUGCUGUUUAGGGUCAGGAUUAGGAUUGAUAUAAUAAAAACAAAGGAUCUCAUAAUUAUGAUAAACCAAAAACCAUAUUGUGAUAUUAAUUCUUAUCAUUCACUUAUCCUUUUCAGCCUGGCAUCCUGGAAAAUUCAUUUUAUUGUAGGUGGGUGGAUAUUGGCUGCUCAUAAAGAUGACAUCGUCAUUAUUGGUAACUUUAGAAGCAUAUUUAAGUUAUUAUAAGGGAAAGAAAGUGAGUUAAAAAAAUGAAAUAUAAUUUGCAAUUUAAUGGAAAGAAAAGUUUUGUUUCUAGAGAUCGAUUGAGCAUUCAAGGUACAAAAAAAAUAUCUCCCUGGAAUUUCGAUUUUCUUUGAAUAAUGUAGUUCUAUUGAUUUGGAGAUAUAUUUUAAAUAAAAUAAUUUAUGCAAGCAUGCAAAACAAUUUA